GGCACGAGGGUCCGUCAUGAGCACAGGCUCUGAUGACUCUGCACCAAACAAGAAUGCAAUGAGUCCCUCAGAGCUGCCCCAACUGUAGGAGAGCUGGUCGCCUGCCUAUCAGAGCAGAUCUCCACCUCCCCACUAGUGCUGGGCGGGGACUCUGCUGCCAUUUACAGAGCUGCUAACGGUGAUGAUGAGAACAGUGGUUUUCAUUCAGGGAGGGCUUGUAGGUGCCAGGCACUGGACAUGGUGCCUUUUAUUUUUAUUCCUGGAGGGAACCUAUGAGGGAGGUAAUUUUUUUAAAUAGAUGGGAUGGACAGGCUUUCAUGGGUUCAGUAACUCACCUAGGUUUAUAUUUAGCUGGGCCAGGUGCUUCACACACAUCUUGUUUAAAUUUUAUCUGCACGACUGCCUCCAUGGUAGGUGUCAACAUUUUUUUUUUCCAACCUGCCCUGUCCCACCCCUGGUGCUAACAUUCUGAUUUGAAGCUCAGGAAGUCUAGCUCAUUGACUCUCAUGAACACAGCUAGUCAAGGGGAGAGCCAGAUUUCAGGCCUAGGCUUCUGUGGUGCCCUGGGGGCAAGGUAACAGGAGGCUGAGGGGAGAGGGACCUGGGUGUGUAUUUCCUGUGGACUAGUGUGGACAGAGAGGCACGGCAAGGCCCCAGGCCUGCCCUGCCUCUGUGACCCAUGAGCACUCCCUCUGAGCACUCCCUGAGCACUUUCUCAUUUGUAAAAAGAAUGUUGGACAAGAUUACGACGUUGUGGAGAGGAUCAGCAUAUAUCACCCUGAAAUAUGCCACUUUAUUUUGAGUUGAAGGCAAUUGAGAAACAGCAGACACAAGCAAAGCUCUCUACCCUCCACCUUGCUGCCUAAUUUCCUUUUGCAAAGGUGUCCCCUCCAUCCUGCCCUUCUCGCAUCUGAGACGUAGGAGACAAGGAGACUGUUGUCGCUGGGGACAGCACCAACUUGAAUCUGCAUAACAAACCUCAGUGAAGUAACCCUUAUCUUCCAUUAGUUCCCCAGAUAUUUACCAUCCCACAAUUUACUGUCUCUAGAAACCAAAACCUUUGCCUUUGUCUUGUCAUUUCUCCACAAAUUUACUGCUCUUUGUUAAAAUGGUAUAUAAGCUCUCAGGCUUAACUGCUUCUUUGGGUUUUCACUUCUUUUUCUGUGAGAUGCCCCUGUACAUGUAAAGAUUAAAACAUUGACAUUAAAUAAAAUUAGCAUGCCCUCUUCUCCUGUUCAUCUAUCUUUAGUCAGUUUAAUUUGCGGGGUUCCAGGUACUGAACCAAAGAGGGUAGAGGAGAAAAUUUUUUCCUUCCUACAGUUAAUUGUACCUUUAGAAUUGUAACAUUUCACAAUUGUGUGAUAAUCUUUGUAAUGAAAAUAACGCUGUUAGAGAAUUAAAAGCCUGCACAAAAUUAAAAGCGGUAGCAUUAAGACGAGUUCGGUCUUGUCUGAGUACACGCCGGUUCCAGUCCAGAGCCACUGCUCCAUCGAGAGUGGCCAGAUGGAGAAUACCGGCCCCUGACGCAGGGCUGGGCGCUCGGGAGGGCCCGACAGCGCACAUGGGAGGAGAGGGAGGUGCCAGUGAAGGGGUGGAGGGUGGAGAGAACCUGUCAGCACAAUGAAAGGCAGGUGGAGGGGAGGGAGUGGCCAGUCUUUACUCAGGGGACACCACGGCUCUGUGGCUGUGACCCCAGGGCAACAAAAACCCAUGUCUGCCUCUUUUCUGCCAACUGGGGUUUCCAUGUCCUUGAAAACUCUUCCCCCAGCUUUGAUAAGAAGAAAAACAGUGUGUUCCCCUGCUCUCCUCCCACAGCCACCCUGGGGAACCCCCACCACGCACACAAGCCUUUGAUGGGGACAGAGGGCGAUCUGUCUGCAGAGACUGUAUGGAGCUUUGCAUAAAAUGUUUUGCUUUCUGUUCAUUCCCGCGUUCAGCAGGUUCCCAAACCCCGGCCCUAUCCCUCUGGGGGUGACAGCCUCAGCUUUCUAAUUCAUAAACACGUGAGAAUAUCCGAGCCUCCUUAUGCCAACGUGUGAAAUUAAAGCCGGCUGUGUCUAUGAGAAUACACCUUCCCUCAUCUUCUCCACCCUCCGUGGCGGUGUUUCCCAGCCUGGAAGGCCCUCCCACAGAGACAGUACUGUCCUGGCCAGAAGGCCUGCCAGGGCAGUCCCAAAGGCAGGGGCUUAGAAAUUGGCUGGGAUUCCCAUGUGCUAACUGCCAGCUAUAUGGCAUCCUGUGAGUUUUUUAUGAAAUGAGGACAAGUACUAUCUGGAAAAAUUGGUUCUGUUAAGGAAAAUGAUGAUGAGGCCAAGUGCUGGCACAGCCACUCCAGUGCACAUUAACAUACCAAUUCAGGGACACAGUUAAACAGCCCACGGCUGGCCUGGGGGUCCAUUCACAACGGCAAAAAAGGCUAUGACAAAUCGCCCCUUAAGUUCCAGGUAAACAGGAUAUAAAUGAACUUUUGUAAAGUUUAUAACUCUUGCGAACUGCUGGGGACUUUUGCAUGAGAAUGGCAACUUGCAAAGUGACCUGAUUUCUAACCACGGUAUACGGAAGGACCUUUCUAAAUGAUCCUUUGUGUAAAGGCCAAGAAUGAUUUUCAAGGUCCCAUGUGAAAAGUGGGAGACAAUUGCCAUAGCAAAUUUAUGAAGUGACAGAGCAGCAAUCUUUACGGAAAACAGCUGGGGCCCAACAGGCCAGGGCGGCCCACGGCGUGGCGGAGGCGGGAGAACCGAGAGGCCGUCCCGGGGGACCUGUAGCUUUGAUGCGAUCAGUCUAGAAGGGAAACAUUUAGCUUUUGGGAAAACAGGAACAGAGGCACUAUAGGUUAGAGCAAUUCUAUCGAGCAUUUAGAAGAGUCACGUCUUCACACUAUGUUCCUUCUUUAAGGGCCAAGUUGGACGCGAGGCGCCUCUCCCUCGCGGUCCGUGUAAAUGUGUGUGGUGUCACCAUCACACGCGUGAUGUCAGCGGUCUGGCUUCUGCGGGUUCUUGGCUGUGAUGGAAACACAUUCAGAAUGUGCAGAACUUGACAAAGAGAAACACUCCUCAUGCGGAGGCUUUUGAGAGGCCGAGAGACGCCCGCAGAGGCCCUUUUGAGGCUCGCUGGGAAGAGUUUCUCAGAAAGCAUUCCCUUGUGUCAGGCUGACAGGGAAAAUGCUAUUAAAUACGAAGGAUCGAAGCAUUAGAAAAGUCAUUGCACUGAAACACAAUUUUUGUUGCUAUUGUUGAAAAGACAUUAUUCCAAAGCUUAACUUGUAUAUAGUGUAAGAGGCUGUUUCAAGGUGUGUUUAGAGAACACACUUAAAACUCACUUUUAGUAAGACAAAUGUCAGACCUCACUGGAGAAAGCUCCUACAGUAGAUUGGUUUUCUUUUCUCUUUCUCUUUCUCUCUUUCUCCCCCAACCCCUUUGGGUCCAGAGCAUGAAAACACACAGAAAAUCAUAGUAUAACAUUACCCCAUUUAGGAUGUGACUCUGCAGUUACUGGUUAAGCAUUGCUAUAGUAUUAGGUGACAUUCAAAAGUAAAUGCUGUCAUGCCAAACCACCCCAGGCAUGGGGAAUGUUCAGCCAGCACUUCUGAUUCGCGCUGGGCUGCCUUCCACACAGUUGACAGAAGAGAAAGAGGCAGGAGAGAAGAAAGCACAGGAGCAAGUCAUUUAUCAUCCAUUGUGACCAUCGCUUCCCUGUCACGAGUGGGGGUGGGACAGGGGGCUGGAAGGCUGUAAAGCACAAGCAGAAAAUAAUUCCAGGCCAUGCCUGCCUGCUCCACACUUGGUUUGGAAAAAGAAAAUAAAAUUCGAAUGACGUCCUUAAGGCCCCCUUUCUCUCUUCCUGUCUGCGGACGCCCCUGAAGCAGUGCCGCCAAGGGCUCCCUCCGCCCUCUGCAUCAGCUCCCUGGGCCUUCUGCCCGGCCACAGAAACAGGUGCUUUCGGGAGGAGCCCGGACGCCAAGCUUAACAGGGAGGUUCUGAAGCAUGGCAGAGCCCGAGAACCUUUUCCAUCAAGUGUCGGCAAAAUCGCUGGGAUCUUUUCGUCUGCCUCAAGCUACCAUCGUACAUUGUGCCGUUGUACUGAAUGGUACCAUUGUACCACUGUACCAAAACCUUCACAUUAGUGUGGGGGAGGAAAAACUUUUCCUCUGCCCUCUUGGGUUCAGUGUUUUGGGACUGUGAAUUAAACUGACCUGUCUGAGACAGACUGGCAAGAGAAA